rnacentral:rRNA from 1 species
GGAUAUGAUCAUAGUUUCACAUUUGAUCCCAUCAGAACUCCAAAACUAAGCAUUCUUGAGUGAGAGUAGAAUAUGGUGGGUGACCCCUUGCGAAGUCUCUGUGUUGCAUCUU